AAUUGCGAAGGCAGCUUUCUGGAUCAUUACUGACACUGAGGAACGAAAGCAUGGGUAGCGAAGAGGAUUAGAUACCCUCGUAGUCCAUGCCGUAAACGAUGUGUAUUAGACGUUGGAAAUUUAUUUUCAGUGUCGCAGGGAAACCGAUAAACACACCGCCUGGGGAGUACGACCGCAAGGUUAAAACUCAAAUGAAUUGACGGGGACCCGCACAAGUAGUGGAGCAUGUGGUUUAAUUCGAAGAUACGCGCAGAACCUUACCAACACUUGACAUGUUCGUCGCGACUCUAAGAGAUUAGAGUUUUCGGUUUGGCCGGACGAAACACAGGUGCUGCAUGGCUGUCGUCAGCUCGUGUCGUGAGAUGUUGGGUUAAGUCCCGCAACGAGCGCAACCCUCACUUUUAGUUGCCAUCAUUAAGUUGGGCACUCUGAAAGAACUGCCAGUGAUAAGCUGGAGGAAGGUGGGGAUGACGUCAAGUCCUCAUGGCCCUUACGUGUUGGGCUACACACGUGCUACAAUGGCAUCUACAACAGGAAGCAAAACGGCAACGUUAAGCAAAUCCCGAAAAGAUGCCUCAGUUCGGAUUGCACUCUGCAACUCGAGUGCAUGAAGCUGGAAUUACUAGUAAUCGUGGAUCAGCGUGCCACGGUGAAUGCGUUCCCGGGUCUUGUACACACCGCCCGUCACACCAUGGGAGUUGGUUCUACCUUAAGGCAAGGUUUCAAACCCUUGACCACGGUAUAGUCAGCGACUGGGGUGAAGUCGUAACAAGGUAGCCGUA
rnacentral:rRNA from 1 species